UACGAAGGGUGCAAGCGUUACUCGGAAUUACUGGGCGUAAAGCGUGCGUGGGUGGUUUGUUAAGUCUGAUGUGAAAGCCCUGGGCUCAACCUGGGAACUGCAUUGGAAACUGGCUGACUAGAGUGCGGUAGAGGGGUGUGGAAUUCCCGGUGUAGCAGUGAAAUGCGUAGAUAUCGGGAGGAACAUCUGUGGCGAAGGCGACACCCUGGACCAGCACUGACACUCAAGUGCGAAAGCGUGGGGAGCAAACAGG
rnacentral:rRNA from 1 species